GACGAACCGUGCGAACGUUGUUCGGAGUCACUGGGCUUAAAGGGCGCGUAGGCGGGCCGCCGCGUCCGGGGUGAAAUCCCCCCGCUCAACGGGGGAACGGCCUCGGAUACGGGCGGUCUGGAGGCGGGUAGGGGCACGCGGAACUGUGGGUGGAGCGGUGAAAUGCGUUGAGAUCCACAGGAACUCCGGUGGCGAAGGCGGCGUGCUGGACCCGAUCUGACGCUGAGGCGCGAAAGCCAGGGGAGCGAACGGG
rnacentral:rRNA from 1 species